AUGGGCCGUCGUCAGUUCGUACUGUGAAGCAUCCUGUUAAGUCAGGCAACGAGCGAGACCCACGCCAACAGUUGCUAGCUCGUCCUCCGGGAUGGAGGAGGACACUGUUGGGACCGCCUCUGCUAAAGAGGAGGAAGGAAUGGGCAACGGUAGGUCAGCAUGCCCCGAAUUAUCUGGGCUACACGCGGGCUACAAUGGGUGGGACAAUGGGUAUCGACACCGAAAGGUGAAGGCAAUCUCCUAAAACCCAUCCUUAGUUCGGAUUGUGGGCUGCAACUCGCCCACAUGAAGCUGGAAUCUGUAGUAAUCGUGUUUCAAAUAGCACGGUGAAUAUGUCCCUGCUCCUU
rnacentral:rRNA from 1 species